rnacentral:rRNA from 1 species
GGCGAGUGAAGCGGUAAGAGCUCAAAUUUGAAAGCUGGCUCCUUCGGGGUCCGCAUUGUAAUUUGCAGAGGAUGUUUCGGGAGCAGCCCCCAUCUAAGUGUCCUGGAACGGACCGUCAUAGAGGGUGAGAAUCCCGUAUGGGAUGGGGUGUCUGCGCCCAUGUGAAACUCCUUCGACGAGUCGAGUUGUUUGGGAAUGCAGCUCUAAAUGGGUGGUAAAUUUCAUCUAAAGCUAAAUAUUGGCCGGAGACCGAUAGCGCACAAGUAGAGUGAUCGAAAGAUGAAAAGCACUUUGAAAAGAGAGUUAAAAAGCACGUGAAAUUGUUGAAAGGGAAGCGCUUGCGAUCAGACUCGCCUUGGGGGUUCAGCCGGCAUUCGUGCCGGUGUACUUCCCCCAGGGCGGGCCAGCGUCGGUUUGGGUGGCCGGUCAAAGGCCCUUGGAAUGUAACGCCUCUCGGGGCGUCUUAUAGCCAAGGGUGCCAUGCGGCCUACCUGGACCGAGGAACGCGCUUCGGCUCGGACGCUGGCAUAAUGGUCGUAAGCGACCCGUCUUGAAACACGGACCAAGGAGUCUAACAUCUACGCGAGUGUUU